rnacentral:rRNA from 1 species
CAAACUGCGAAUACCGGAGAAUGUUAUCACGGGAGACACACGGCGGGUGCUAACGUCCGUCGUGAAGAGGGAAACAACCCAGACCGCCAGCUAAGGUCCCAAAGUCAUGGUUAAGUGGGAAACGAUGUGGGAAGGCCCAGACAGCCAGGAUGUUGGCUUAGAAGCAGCCAUCAUUUAAAGAAAGCGUAAUAGCUCACUGGUCGAGUCGGCCUGCGCGGAAGAUGUAACGGGGCUAAACCAUGCACCGAAGCUGCGGCAGCGACGCUUAUGCGUUGUUGGGUAGGGGAGCGUUCUGUAAGCCUGUGAAGGUGUGCUGUGAGGCAUGCUGGAGGUAUCAGAAGUGCGAAUGCUGACAUAAGUAACGAUAAAGCGGGUGAAAAGCCCGCUCGCCGGAAGACCAAGGGUUCCUGUCCAACGUUAAUCGGGGCAGGGUGAGUCGACCCCUAAGGCGAGGCCGAAAGGCGUAGUCGAUGGGAAACAGGUUAAUAUUCCUGUACUUGGUGUUACUGCGAAGGGGGGACGGAGAAGGCUAUGUUGGCCGGGCGACGGUUGUCCCGGUUUAAGCGUGUAGGCUGGUUUUCCAGGCAAAUCCGGAAAAUCAAGGCUGAGGCGUGAUGACGAGGCACUACGGUGCUGAAGCAACAAAUGCCCUGCUUCCAGGAAAAGCCUCUAAGCAUCAGGUAACAUCAAAUCGUACCCCAAACCGACACAGGUGGUCAGGUAGAGAAUACCAAGGCGCUUGAGAGAACUCGGGUGAAGGAACUAGGCAAAAUGGUGCCGUAACUUCGGGAGAAGGCACGCUGAUAUGUAGGUGAAGCGACUUGCUCGUGGAGCUGAAAUCAGUCGAAGAUACCAGCUGGCUGCAACUGUUUAUUAAAAACACAGCACUGUGCAAACACGAAAGUGGACGUAUACGGUGUGACGCCUGCCCGGUGCCGGAAGGUUAAUUGAUGGGGUCAGCGCAAGCGAAGCUCUUGAUCGAAGCCCCGGUAAACGGCGGCCGUAACUAUAACGGUCCUAAGGUAGCGAAAUUCCUUGUCGGGUAAGUUCCGACCUGCACGAAUGGCGUAAUGAUGGCCAGGCUGUCUCCACCCGAGACUCAGUGAAAUUGAACUCGCUGUGAAGAUGCAGUGUACCCGCGGCAAGACGGAAAGACCCCGUGAACCUUUACUAUAGCUUGACACUGAACAUUGAGCCUUGAUG